rnacentral:pre_miRNA from 1 species
UGAAGCAGUAAUCCCUGCUUAAGCAAAUCUUUGACAGCAACCUCAAUGGUAUUGGAGUGGCAACAUUUUCUACUGGGUGCUGUUUAGAUUUGGUUAAGCAGGAUUACUUCUUCA